CCUACGGGUGGCAGCAGUGGGGAAUAUUGGACAAUGGGGGGAACCCUGAUCCAGCGACGCCGCGUGAGUGAAGAAGUUUUUCGGUAUGUAAAGCUCUAUCAGCAGGGAAGAAAAUGACGGUACCUGACUAAGAAGCACCGGCUCACUACAGUCCAGCAGCCGCGGUACUACGUAGGGGGCAAGCGUUAUCCGGAGUUACUGGGGGUAAAGGGGGCGUAGACGGUUAAGCAAGUCUGGUGUGAAAGGUUGGGGCCCAACCCCCGGACUGCAUUUGAAACUGUUGGACUGGAGUACAGGAGAGGUAAGCGGAAUUCCUGGUGUAGCGGUGAAAUGCGUAGAUAUUAGGAGGAACACCAGUGGCGAAGGCGGCUUACUGGACUGUAACUGACGUUGAGGCACGAAAGCGUGGGGAGCAAACAGGAUUAGAUACCCGAGUAGUC
rnacentral:rRNA from 1 species